ACUCCUACGGGAGGCAGCAGUGGGGAAUAUUGGGCAAUGGACGGAAGCCUGACCCAGCAACGCCGCGUGAAGGAAGAAGGCCCUCGGGUUGUAAACCUCUUUUGUGGGGGACGAAAACAAAUGACGUUACCGGACGAAUAAGCCACGGCUACCUGCGUGCCAGCAGCCGCGGUAAUA
rnacentral:rRNA from 1 species